rnacentral:rRNA from 1 species
UACGGGGGUGGCGAGCGUUACUCGGAUUUAUUGGGUGUAAAGGGCAGGUAGGCGUUCCGCCAAGUUAGAAGUGAAAUCCUGUGGCUCAACCACAGAACUGCUUCUAAAACUGGCGGAAUUGAGGCUGGAAGAGGAGAGCGGAAUUCCCGGUGUAAGGGUGAAAUCUGUAGAUAUCGGGAGGAACACCAGUGGCGAAAGCGGCUCUCUAGUCUAGCUCUGACGCUAAUCUGCGAAAGCUCGGGGAG